rnacentral:lncRNA from 1 species
AUUUCCUCUCUGCCAUUCUUCCUUCCAGGAGCUGUACCAGCCCAGUGCAGAGAGCUUGCGCCAGCAAGAAGAACGCAAGCGGCUCUACCAGAGGCAGCAGGAGCGGGGGGGAAUCAUUGACCUUGAGGCUGAGCGAAACCGAUACUUCAUCAGCCUUCAGCAGCCUCCUGCCCCUGCGGAACCUGAGUCAGCUGUAGAUGUCUCCAAAGGAUCCCAACCACCCAGCACCCUUGCAGCAGAACUAUCCACCUCACCAGCCGUCCAAUCCACUUUGCCACCUCCUCUGCCUGUGGCGACCCAGCACAUAUGUGAGAAGAUUCCAGGGACCAGGUCAAAUCAGCAAAGGUUGGGCGAAACCCAGAAAGCUAUGCUAGAUCCCCCCAAGCCCAGUCGAGGUCCCUGGCGACAGCCCGAACGGAGGCACCCAAAGGGAGGGGAGUGCCACGCCCCUAAAGGUACCCGUGACACCCAGGAACUGCCACCUCCUGAGGGGCCCCUCAAGGAGCCCAUGGACCUAAAGCCAGAACCCCAU